GUUGGCCCCGCUGCGCAGACGCGGGCGGGUGUUCUGGCCGUUUUCACUGUUCAGCCAAGAAGCAGCAGCUCAGUCCUUCAGGUGAAAGAUGAUGGAAGCCAAGUGGCACCUGUUCUGGACA